rnacentral:rRNA from 1 species
UAAUCAUUUGCCUCCUAAUUAGAGGCACGUAUGAACGGGAAACCGAGAAUAACCCUGUCUCUUUUCUGCCCAUAUAAACUUAUCUCUAGGUGAAAAAGCCUAGAUUAUUAUAAAAGACAAAAAGUCCCCGUCGAACUUUAAUCUCCCCUAGCCAAACCACAUCACAACCUAUUACGAUUUUCGUUGGGGCGACAAAGGAAUACAAACUUCCUACACACAUACGACAUCAAGUCACAUAUUAAAAGACCCUACCACUGAUCCUAGGACACA